AGUAGGGUAGAGCAGUCGGAAGCUCGCCAGGUUCAUUCCCUGGAAGUCGCGGGUUCGAGUCCCGCCCCUGCGCCCA
rnacentral:tRNA from 1 species